rnacentral:rRNA from 1 species
GAUGAACGCUGACAGAAUGCUUAACACAUGCAAGUCAACUUGAAUUUGGGUUUUUAACUUAGGUUUGGGUGGCGGACGGGUGAGUAACGCGUAAAGAACUUGCCUCACAGCUAGGGACAACAUUUGGAAACGAAUGCUAAUACCUAAUAUUAUGAUAAUAGGGCAUCCUAUAAUUAUGAAAGCUAUAAGCGCUGUGAGAGAGCUUUGCGUCCCAUUAGCUAGUUGGAGAGGUAACGGCUCACCAAGGCGAUGAUGGGUAGCCGGCCUGAGAGGGUGAUCGGCCACAAGGUGACUGAGACACGGCCCUUACUCCUUCGGGAGGCAGCAGUGGGGAAUAUUGGACAAUGGACCGAGAGUCUGAUCCAGCAAUUCUGUGUGCACGAUGAAGUUUUUCGGAAUGUAAAGUGCUUUCAGUUGGGAAGAAACAAAUGACGGUACCAACAGAAGAAGUGACGGCUAAAUACGUG